CCUUCGAUAUCUCAGUUGGUAGAGCGGAGGACUGUAGGUGUAUGGGAACAGGAAUCCUUAGGUUGCUGAUUCAACUCCGGCCCGAAGGA
rnacentral:tRNA from 1 species